CAGGCGCUGCGCUGGGGCUGGACGAGAGAUAUGAAGACACGGUGUGCUGGGCCACAAGCUCCUGGUGCACACGGGGGGAAGGACCAGUAGACACAUGAGAGCAGACGGGACAAGUUCACUGAAUUGUCACUUACACCUAAACCAGAGAGGAGGAGAGUCCCAACACUGGCUUUGAAACGCCUCUGACCCACAGGAAAUGGCUGUUUUCAAGUCCUUCCCCUUUGUUGCUCUCAAACCUUCAGUGGAUCCCAUCACCCACGGAGC